UAAAGAAAAUCAUUUGCUUUCUUCUCUUUAUCAUCAUCAGAGAGGCUUUCAAUUUCAACUUCUACUGCAUCCACAUAAUUCAUGGGUUCGGGGGCCUUUGCUUUUCCUAUCGCUAGUUUACAAAGAUAUACAAUAGUAUCUCUGCUUUCAUAUAAAGGAUAAAAAGUAAUAUACAAAGCGGCUAUUAAGGUCCAAAUUAUAAUAACAAUAAUCCAUCCUCUAAAAAAAAGCUUAGAGAAAAUAUACUUUGAUCCAUACAUUGGAAGUGGAACUAUAAUCACCAAAAUAAAAAAUAUUAUCCAACUGACAAAGAUUCCAAUCCUCAAGGACCUAUCAAGUUGCUUUUUCUCAGUUUCUGCAUCAACAAUUUCUUCAGCAGUAGCGUCAUCACCUAACACAAACUUUUCAUUCAGAUUAUUUAGAUCAUCUGAUUUGUUAGGGAAAAAGUAGGAUAUGAGAACAAUAUAAAUCAAUCCAGAGAAAAGACCGGUGAAAUUACCUACCGCAUUUGCAUAAGGAGUAUUUAAGGUUGUCUUAUUUACAACACCAUUAGAAAACUUGUAACACGAUCCUACCCAGCAAACAACACCUGUGAUAGAUCCCAUGGGACAUCCAAUAAUCAUUCCAUAUUUAUUCAUUUUUUUCCAGAAUAAAGUCAAUGUAAUUCCGAACACAGCUGGUCCGAGGGCAAUACCAAUGAAUGUAAUAAUCCAUGAAAUUGUUAUACCGAUAUAAUUGAAAAGAACAGCAAGGGCACCCAUACAUACAGCAAAUAUAGUAACAAAAACAUGUGUAACACGAACUAACUCUUUACCACUUGCAUUCGGUCUAAAAUAAUUGCGGUAAACGUCGUAUGUCAUAACCGAUGAAAAGGCAACAAGUUCAGCGGAAGUUGCUGAUGUUGAUGCCAUAAAUAAAAUUAAAACUCCAGCGGCAGCACCGUUCUUUCCCAUUAAUGCAGUCAUUCCAUAUAGUAAAGGCAUACCUUCACUAACUUGUUUACUAGAGACGGGGUCCGGAUAUGUAACACUAACUGGAUUAUUAGUCAAAGCCAAACACGAAAGUGCCGCAGCAGAACCCAUGGCCCAUGGAACAAUUAACCAGGCCAAACCGCCAGCAAAAUAGCCUUUCAUUGCAGAUAUAGGCUUUGCAGCAAUCGCCUUUUGUCCGUAGCUAGGAUCACAAAAUACUGUUGCAAAUCCUCCGAUUACUAUAUUCCACCCAACAAAAACAGCAUCA